rnacentral:rRNA from 1 species
UACGUAGGGUGCAAGCGUUGUUCGGAUUUACUGGGCGUAAAGGGCGCGUAGGCGGCGCGGUAAGUCACUUGUGAAAUCUCUGAGCUUAACUCAGAACGGCCAAGUGAUACUGCAGUGCUAGAGUGUGGAAGGGGCAAUCGGAAUUCUUGGUGUAGCGGUGAAAUGCGUAGAUAUCAAGAGGAACACCUGAGGUGAAGACGGGUUGCUGGGCCAACACUGACGCUGAGGCGCGAAAGCCAGGGGAGCAAACGGG